rnacentral:rRNA from 1 species
UAAGGAAUAUUGGUCAAUGGACGCAAGUCUGAACCAGCCAUGCCGCGUGAAGGAUGAAGGUCCUCUGGAUUGUAAACUUCUUUUAUAUGGGACGAAACCUCUUUUUCUUGAGAGACUGACGGUACCAUAGGAAUAAGCACCGGCUAACUCCGUGCCAGCAGCCGCGGUAAUACGGAGGGUGCAAGUGUUAUCCGGAUUCACUGGGUUUAAAGGGAGCGUAGGAGGGCAGGUAAGUCAGUGGUGAAAUCUUCGAGCUUAACUCGGAAACUGCCGUUGAUACUAUCUGUCUUGAAUACCGUGGAGAUGAGCGGAAUAUGUCAUGUAGCGGUGAAAUGCUUAGAUAUGACAUAGAACACCAAUUGCGAAGGCAGCUCGUUACACGAAUAUUGACUCUGAGGCUCGAAAGCGUGGGGAUCAAACAGGAUUAGAUACCCUGGUAGUCCACGCCCUAAACGAUGGAUACUCGACAUACGCGAUACACUGUGUGUGU